AAUUGUUUGCACACGACAAACUCCCAGUCCAGGCCCCCACCCGAGCACCCCACAUGCCCACAGCACCAGUUCCGAGGAGGGCCCCCCUCCGUCCCCCCCCCCCGCGGCGAGGAGAGACAGGGUUACACCGCCUGGAAGGAAGUGGGGGUGGACAAAAGGGGGCAGAGGGGCUGGGGGGCGGCCCCCGAGGUGGAGGGUGUGUCGCGCCGCGCGUCCCGAGCCCGGCACUCGCUCCGAGGAGUGGGCAGGGACGCGCGGGGCGCCGCGAGGGCUGGGCGGGCGGCCCAGCCGGAAAGGGUCAGGGAGGGGGCAGGUCGGUCUCCGUCGGAGCGGCGACUCCGGACAGCCGCUCAAAGUUGGGGAGGGGGUGCCCGCGCGAGCGCCCGCGGCGGCCGAGAUAAACAAGGCGGCGCACGGCGGGGCGGGCGGCCACCCCCCACCCCGCCCGCGCGGGCACCGGCGCUGCCGCAGCGCCCCCGCGCCCCGCCGGCCGCUGCCCCCGGCGCCCGCCUCCCGGGCCCUCCGGCCGCCGGCCCGGCCCCCCCGGCGCGCGGAGCGUGGGAAGUUCCCGGGCCGCCCCCGUCCCCGCGCUGCAGCGCCGCGAGGUCCCCGCGCAGCUCACCUCGCCCCGCCACGAGCAGCAGCGCGGGCCGGGCAGCGCCCGCUCGGACAGCUCGGCCUGGCUCGGGGCUGCAGCGGCCGCGGCCCCUGCGCGCCCACCCGGCGCGGCCCACCGCCCCGCUCCGCCCCGCUCCGCUCCGCUCCGGCCGCCCGCCCGCCCGCCGAGGCUCCGUUCGCGCCCACCUGGCCGGCCUGCCCUCCCUCUCCGGGACACUGCGCUCACGUACGCGGCCGCGGCCACAACCCGGCCCGGAUUCCCCGCCCGGGAAGGGAGCGGAGGAGCGCGCCAGCCAGCGAGCGAGCGAGCGAGGCUCGGGGACACACCCCCCCCCCAGCGCCCGCCCCCCGCCCCCCUCCCCAGCCCUGGGCGCCGCGCGCGCACGCGGCCUGCGCGCCCCCUCCCCUCCCCUCCCCUCCCCCUCCGCCGGCCGCGCGCGCCCUCCCCGCACACACCCCCCCCCGCCCGCCUCCCGUAGACAGUGGGCGCUCAAUAAGUGCCCGAGCGGCUCCUCACGCACAUGCGCACUUGAACCUGACCGAGUUGUGACACCCCCCCCCCCCCACCCCCACCCCCGCCCCCGGAUCGGAACCGGCGGCUGCAGCCCCAAACCAAACUUGAGUGUUUGCUUUUUUUCACUGAACCGCAAACCCGAGCCAAAGUUUCUUGCUGUUGUUUUUCCAGGCCUGGCUCCGGGAUGGGCUUCUCCCGGAGAGGCCGAGCUCGCCCCGGGGCGGGAAAGGAAGCCGGAGAGCUCCGGGCGCCGGGGACCGGGGAGACCCAGGCCGCGCAGCCGGAGCCCGCUGCGGGCGCCAGCGAAAGCGCCUUAG
rnacentral:lncRNA from 1 species